GAGUUUGAUCAUGGCUCAGAACGAACGCUGGCAGCGUGCUUAACACAUGCAAGUCGAGCGAGAAAGGGGGGGCAACCCCCUGAGUAGAGCGGCGCACGGGUGAGUAACGCGUGGGUAACCUACCCCCAGGCGGGGGAUAACCACUCGAAAGGGUGGCUAAUACCGCAUGAGACCACGGGAUCUUCGGAUCCUGAGGCUAAAGAUCGCACCGGCUUGCCGGUGCUGUCACCAGGGGAUGGGCCCGCGUCCGAUUAGCUAGUUGGCGAGGUAAUGGCUCACCAAGGCUUCGAUCGGUAGCUGGUCUGAGAGGAUGAUCAGCCACACUGGAACUGAAACACGGUCCAGACCCCUACGGGAGGCAGCAGUCGGGAAUUUUGGGCAAUGGGCGAAAGCCUGACCCAGCAACGCCGCGUGAAGGAUGAAAUCCCUCGGGAUGUAUACUUCGCAAGAACGGGAAGAAUUAGUAGGGGUCAAUACCCCCUAUGAUGACGGUACCGUUUGUAAGCUCCGGCUAACUCCGUGCCAGCAGCCGCGGUAAUACGGGGGGAGCAAGCGUUGUUCGG
rnacentral:rRNA from 1 species